GAAACUUUUUUUUUGGUUGGGAGGUAGAAGAGGUUAGAAAGACCUAGGUUUGAUAUCAUGACUUUAGCUAAGUAACUUAAAUUUGGUGAACUUCAUUUUCGGCUCUAGAAAGAUGGGGUUGAUAAUACCCACGUCAAAAGGUUGUUUGGAGAAUCAAAUCAUAUAUAUGAAAAGCAAAAUGCCUACUGUAGUUCCUGGGGAAUUGUUAGUUGUUCCCAUCCCGUGCAUCUUCUCUAUUACAGUGGGCGUCUGUGUACAUUCUUGCUCAGUGUCUACGCUGUUCUCCUCUAUCUUCUCUAUUAUAGUGACGUCUGUGUACAUUCUACCUCAGCGUCUACGCUGUUCUCCUCUAUCUUCUCUAUUACAGUGGGUGUCUGUGUACAUUCUUUCUCAGCGUCUACACUAUUCUCUAUCUUCUCUAUUACAGUGGGCGUCUGUGUACAUUCUUGCUCAGCAUCUACGCUGUUCUCCAUCUUCUCUAUCACAGUGGGCGUCUGUUUACAUUCUUGCUCAGCGUCUGCGCUGUUCUCCAUCCUCUGUAUCACAGUGGACGUUUGUGUACAUUCUUGCUCAGCGUCUACGCUGUUCUCCUCUAUCUUCUCUAUUACAGUGGGCGUCUGUGUACAUUCUCGCUCAGCGUCUACACUGUUCUCUACUCUAUUACAGUGGGCAUCUGUGUACAUUCUUGCUCAGCGUCUACACUGUUCUCCUCUGUCUUCUCUAUCACAGUGGACAUCUGUGUACAUACUUGCUCAGCGUCUACACUGUUCUCUAUCUUCUCUAUUACAGUGGACGUCUGUGUACAUUCUACCUCAGCGUCUAUGCUGUUCUCCUCUACUCUAUCACAGUGGGUGUUUGUGUACAUUCUUGCUCAGAGUCUACACUGUUCUCUUCUAUCUUCUCUAUUACAGUGGGCGUCUGUGUACAUUCUACCUCAGCGUCUACGCUGUUCUCCUCUAUCUUCUCUAUUACAGUGGACAUCUGUGUACAUUCUUGCUCAGAGUCUACACUGUUCUCUAUCUUCUCUAUUACAGUGGGCGUCUGUGUACAUUCUUGUUCAGCAUCUACGCUGUUCUCCAUCUUCUCUGUUACAGUGGCUGUCUGUGUACAUUCUCGCUCAGCAUCUAUGCUGUUCUCUUCUAGGAAUAGCAUCUCCGUGUUUACUUUGUUUAACUUCCACCUUGGAUAAAGCCUUGGUGUCAUUGUCAAUCAAGAUCUCCUGGUAAGCAUCCACCCCACCAAGCCAGCGAAUCAGGUGUGCUCUUCUGAAUUUUGUACGUGACAAGAUAUUGGAAAUGUGUCAAACGUUGUCCUGAAGGGAGGGAGUAUCCAGUAAUUUCUGUUUAGAGCCCUGUAACUGCUCUAAGCCCUCACAGUAAAUACUUUUUUCAAAACAAAACAAAACUUAAAAUAGCCUGGUUGGCUGUAUACCAAAGUUCCCUGUUUGGUGCACUGAAUUGGAAAUAAUUCCACAAGCAGAUGCAUUCAUUUGUUUAAUCCAAGAAUUAUUAAGUGAUUUCCUUAUUCUUUAUAUAUCCAGUGUGAGGUGCUGAGUGCAUUCAUAGAAGAGAAAUAUCAGGUUCCCUGUCCCUGGGGUGUGCUCAGCUCAGUGACUUCACAGAGGGCACGUGAUCUUAGAGUAGUAGCAGACGUGGAGCAUAGCCUGAGGCACAAUCCCAGACUGAAUUUUGUAUUAGGUAUAGUGACAGUUAAUCUAACUCUAAAAACAUCAGUUAUGGACAUAAGGAUGGGAACAGUAGGUACUGGGACUACUAGAGGGGGAAGAGGGGAUGGGGGCAAGGGCUGAAAAACUACCCAUUGGGUACUAGGCUCACCCCCUGGGUGAUGGAGUCAUUUCUACCCCAAGCCUCAGCGCCACACUACAUACCCAUGUAUCGAGCCUGUGGAUGUACCCCCGAAUCUAAAAUAGAAGUUGAAAUUAUAAGCAAAAAUUUACAUUAAAAAACCCUUUAAUGCCCAUUAGUUACUUAUAAUCUGUUUAAAGAAUAGCCAGUUGCUCUCAGCCUUUUCAUUUGUUUCAUUAAUUGCAUCUGUUUAUUUACUCAGUCUGGUCAAGAAAAAUACCCUUAAUCGUUUAUAUUAAAAAGUAGGUGCCACUAUAAAAUUCUAAGCUUUUGCUGAAAAUCGUGACCUUUGAUUGUUCAUACUGGUAAUUUAUUUCUCAUUUUUAUGUUGCAAUUACAACAUUCAAAGCAGUAGACUAAGAUCUAAUGAUUUAGAAGCACCAGAGGCAUUGCUGGGCCAGGAUGACAAGCCUUUAAUGACUCUCUUAGGCAGUAAAAAAGCCACUGCAAUUGCUGUAUGAAUAUUCAUUUAAGAAGCAUUCAUUGGUUGUAAAUCUUUUAACAUGUAGACUUUAAAAAAGAUGAAUAACAUACUAUGUACCCCGGUCAUUCUUAUUGAAUGUGUCUUCAGAUAUUUUUUAUCAAAUUCAUUUUACUGCUCUUUUUGCUUAUGAAAAUAAAAUAGUAUUUCAUUAGUUGAGCUCAUUUGAAUAUUAGAAAUAAACAGAGUUCAUAUCAUGUGAAAUUGCUGACAGCUCUUAAAAUCAGUCCUGCACUUUGCCCAGAGGCAUUAUUCACAUUGCUGGUUACAUCUGUUCUUGGGAAAGAGAACCUGCCUUGACUGUGAAUGGGGGUCCAGUUUGCCCCAGGUUUAGUCCCUGUGAUACUCAGCAAAUGUUGCCUGGUUCUUUACUAAAUAUGGCUACCCUGUGAUGAGAAGCUUUGGGCUGAUUGGGCCUUAUUUGUCUUCUUUUCUCUUACUGGGAAAGCAAAGACUGCUGAACAUAACUGAUGUCAGAAUGGGCCCGUGUUAGCUAUAUACUGUGUACAGGUCAAGCACAUAACUAUUAAUAGUAAAAAUCAACUUAGACAGGGGAACGGGAUUCAGAUCCAGCAGUUUUAUCCUAGCCCACACUCUUAACCACAAUUACAAUGGCAAACAAAUAAAUAUUUUUAAUUGUAUGCAGUAUGAUUUAGUAUUGGAAAGACUGUUUAAAUUUUUUAAAUAGACUUUAAAUUUUAGAAAGUGUAGAUAUACAGCAAAAUUGUGAAUAGUACAGAGUGUUCCCCUAUAUAUUCUGUACCCAGUUUUCCCUAUUGACACCUUAUAUUAGUAUGGUGCAUUAUUACAAUUAAUGAACCAAUAUUGAUAUACUGGUACUAACUAAAGUCCAUACUUUAUUCAGAUUCCCUUGGAUUUUACCCAGUGUCUGUACCAGUAUGCCACACAGGAUACCACGUUAUUUUUGGUCCUUGUGUUGCUUUAGGCUUCUCUUGGUACAGUUUUUCAUACUUUCUUUGUUUUUGAUGAUCCUUGACAGUUUGGAGGAAUAUUAUUGGUCAGGUAUUUUGUAGAACGUACCUUACGUGGAAAGAAGGUAAUACCUGUCUGAAUUUUUUUUCAUGAUUAGAGUGGAGUUACGGAUUUUGGGGAGGAAGACCACAGAGAUAAAGUGCCGUUUUCAUUACAUCCUACCUGGAAUAUGCUCUAUUGACUUGACUUGUUGAUUUUGACCUUGAUCACCUAGCUGAGGUCGCGUUUGUCAGCCUUCGCCACUGCAGAGCUCCUCCUUUUCCCUUCCACACUGUCCUCGUCACAGGGACGUCACUAGGCACCACCCAGACCUAAGGAGAGGGGAGCCACGUUCCACCUCCUUGAAGGAGGAGUAUUUAAUAUGUAAAUUAUUUGGAAUUCCUCUGAACAGGAGAUUUGUCUUUUAUUUAUAUCAGUAUGUAUUCGUACACAAUUUAUUUUAUAUCUCUAGUUAUAAUCCAAUACUACUUUAUGUUCUUGCCCAAAAUAUUCUAACUUUUGGCCGCAGGGAACUUUUUCAGUUGAUUUCUGUGUCCGUUUGACAUAUCCUCAUCAUUGCAGAGUUGUUUUUUUUUUUCUUUAGCACCUCCUCACUUUCUGGCACUACAAGAUGCUUCAGGCUUAUUUUUUAUGUUUCCUGCUCAUAUCCUAGAAGCAGCCAUUUCUUCAAUGUGCCCUGUUUUCUUUUAUUGGAGAAUAGUUUUAGAAAUUGGAGAAUUUAGAAAUUGGAGAAUAGUUUUAGAAAACAAGAUUGGGCACUAUUUAUGUUUAUUGCUAAUGAGUUUUCUUUGCUUCUAGGCCCUAUGAAAGUUUUAACUUUUAAAUUUUUUAAGCUGCUUGAGCUGCUAUACUAAGCAACUAUUUCUGUAAAUGUUGGUGGCCAAAAGUGUUAAAUAAAUAGUUUAAAAUUUGUUUUUCAUUGGGGAAAGAAUGUUGUAUUGUAGUUACAGUUGAGAAUUGCCAAAAAUAAAAUUUAAAAAGAACAAUACUUAGAAGAACAUUUCUAAAAACAUUUCUUAGAAUUGUAUAAUUGUCUCAGUCAACUUGCUUUUAUUAUUUUUCAAGAUAAUUUUUAAUGAUUUUAUACAAAGCAGUGAUUCCCUGGGUAAUGAUUGUGAAGAUUUUGCCUUUUGUGCUUCUCUUUUACAGUGGAUUUUUCAUUUAUUUAACUUGGAUUAGAAUUAGAAAUGCAAAUACGUCAGCAAUUGAAUUUACCCCUUGGAAUCUUGCUUUUUGCUGGACAUUUACUAUCUGAAUUACACAAAGGAAAAAAGACAAGGAGCAGUGUCUGUACCCAGGAGUUAUUGUCUAGUAGUUAAUAACAAGCACUGUACAAGCAUUGAUCAGUCAAAACAGGAAAUUUAGAAACAACCAGGAGACCAUAUCAGAUGUAUUCUGGGCAAAUAUCACCCCUGCCCAGGCCUAAAGAACUGCCAAAAAUCUUUAAAAUAUUGGCUUAUAAAUAAUGUGAAGUAGAAAAAAAAUUUAAACAUGACAUCUCAGUGAUAUUUCUGCAAAGGGAGGUUUUUUUUUAAAUAAAGAAGUGACAGUAAAAUUGAUUUUCACUAGCUUUAAAGACAGUAUCAUCCUCUGUAUCGUAAGAUAUUACUCUGAGAAACACCCCUUCAUUCUUUCAGGUGAAAGGCAGCCUAUUAUCACAGGCAGCCAACCACUGCAACAGCUGGUAUUGACAAAGGCUCUGACCCCUUUUGGUUAAAAAUGAAGCAAAAAUCUGAGUGUUCGUAGGGCUUCCUAACCUCCGGUUGAGCUAUAUGUAAGAACCCUUCACCCAUUAUAAUAAUCCAGGUAUGCGAUGUUGUAUUACAGUGACCUGCAGGGUCAUGACUUAGUGAGAGGCAUUCUUUGUCAACACAGGGAAAGUUAACACAGAAGGUAAAAUUUAGAAGAAAGGUGAAUGGUUAUAAUAUUCUUUCAGUGCGUGUGUGUGUGUGUGUGUGCGCGCGUGCACGCACAUUUGUGUGUAUAUAUUUGUAUAUUCCUUCAGCAACAUGUCAUAUGGUCUAGGAAUCCCUGGGCGAUUUCUGGUUUUGGAGAAUAGGAUGUGAAUGUACCUCUGAAACUGACAGAAUGAUGUAUUACCUUGUAGGUCACUGGAGUAGAGUCCAGAUGUGCUUAAGCAUUUAUGAAAAGUUACCUAUUGUCACAGAGGCCCCGUACCACAUGAGUCCUGUGAGACUUUAAAGGAAAUCUAACCAAAAUUGAACUCUAUUUCAGCACUGGCUUGCGUGAACAUGAUUUAGAAUGCUUUGCUGCUUUUGCCAUUUUGGUGUACGUUUGAAUAAAAGGGAAAGCUUGAAAGGGGACACAAAGGUAAGAAAGAAAAGAAGGCCUAGAAUUAAAGAGGGAGAAAAAGAAGCGUGAGUACCCGGAGAGCUGCGAGGACGAUAGCAGCCGUCUGCGGCUCGGAAGAACUGAUUGUAGAUCUACAGGAAGUGUGCUGUUGUGCUGCUGGCGGAGGCCGUCCCUGAGGAAGUAGGAGAAGACCACUAGGGCUGUGUCUAAGGUAACUGUAAGGCCUCUCCAUCCUUUCUGCUGAUUAUGACUAGCAGCUAAUUUGGAUCUGAUUUAUACUGUGGGGAAGAAGCUUGGAGAGAAACGUGGGGUGCCAGUGUGAUGGGGGUGGGUCAGUGAAUGGCGGCUUGCUGUCUCUGUAGAUCAGGCCACAAGGCCACUGCUGGGGCUGCCUCUUUUGUCGUAGGGACUUAGUCUAGAGUUUUAUUGAAGGGUACGUAAAAGAUCAUACAAAUAAACAUAUUCUGAAGAAUACAUUCAUCAGUACAGUCUAAUUUAAAUCUCCAGAUAGUUGGUAAUUUUGCUUUUUAUGGACAAGUCUUUUCAUCGAACUAUUUCUAUUUCUAUGUGAUCUUGUUGUAUUUUAAAUGUUAAUUUAUUCUUCCAAUCUCUUCUUCCUUACUUUCAUCCCAGAAUUUUUUCAGAUCUGUAUGUUUCUACCAAUGUGGCUCUCAGGUUGUCCCUAAUUUGUCAGAGGCUGUAGUACCAUAUUUUCUUAACUGGUAGUAAACAAGAUAUGACGAUAAAUGGGACCUAAGGAUACUUCUAAUGAGGAAUACUUUUGUCUUCACAUGUUUUAUUGGGUUUAACUAGAAUGUAGAAUGAAAAACAAUAUGACUUCUCUGUUUUCUUAGCAUAUUUUGUUCUUAAUUUGGCUGUACUUAUUAGAACUCCUCCAAGAUUUCCUAUAAUCAUUACAUUAAAAGCCUUCAUUAUCAAUUGAAAUGCAUCUUUUGUAACUACAUUUCUUUUUUUUUUUUGACUUUACCUUUUACCUUUUUAAAAGCAAUGAAUGCAUUACUCUUGCCAAGAAAAUGUAAAGAUCCCAGGAGGACUUACUGUUCUCCUUUUUCCCUAGAGAGAGCUAAUCUCAAGUUCACUCUUUUUUUAUUAAUAGUUGGAUUGAGAUACAUUUAGUCUCAUAUUUACUCUUUAAAGAAUAUGUAAUCAUUACAAUCAUUACUAAUUUUAUUUCUUUUCCCUUAACCCUUUUAAAGUUAUAAGGAAAUAAUACUGCAUUUUAACAUUGAUAGGUACCGUAAUUUUGGAUUUUAUUUUAUUGUAGCAUUUACAUUAACUGCGAAUCUUGGCUUUAAAAAAGCCACACAUAGGUUAGGCACAGUGGCUCACGCCUGUAAUUCCAGCACUUUGGGAGGCUGAGGUAGGAGGAUCGCUUCGGCCCAGGAGUUCGACACCAGCCUGGGCAACACAGCAAGACUUCAUCACUACAAAAGAAAAAUUAAAAAUGAGCCAGGUUAUUUUGGAGCUUUAACAUUUAACAACUGCCCUGCUGGGUUCCAAAGUUGCAGGAGUUCUGUAGCCCCUUUCUUUUUGCCAAUUUCUUCAAUUAAACCUCUUUUCUUAUAAAUUAAAAAAGUAAAUAAGUAAAUAAAAUAAAAAAUAGCUGAGCAUGAUGGCACAUGCCUGUGGUUCCAGCUGCUUGGGAGGCUGAGGAAGGAGGAUCGCUUGAGCUCAGGUAUUCAAGGCUACAGUGAGCUAUAAUAAUACCACUGCACUCCAGCCUGGGUGACAGAGUGACACCUUGUUUCAACAACAGCAACAAAAACAACAACAAAAGCCACACAUAGCCUCUUCUGUAUCCAACUUUUAAGUGAAAGUUCUUAAGAUCUUCAAUGUAUGAUUCUUAAUUUUUUCCGUAAUAACAACACUCCAGUGUUUUCAGAUGUUUCAGAUUGUAUCUGUUUUUGUGCAGUGGUUCUCAAACUUCAAGGUGCAUCAGAAUAACCGAUUGCUGAAGUUUCUCAUUUAUUAGGACUGGGUGGGACUCAACUGCAUUUGAACAAGUUCCUGACUUACUGAUGCUGUUGGUCCGUGGCCAUACUUCAGGAAUGACUGUGUUAUCAUAUUUGAUUCUUCGAGAAUCCAGUGAGAUCUUGGGCAGAUACAGAUAGGGAAAAUGAAGCUUGAAGACAUUUGUGAUCUUUUUCCAGCGACACAUCAUGAAUUAAUGGUUGAACAGGUACCAGAACCCAUGAAGACCUUUCUGGUUUUCUCCUGCUCAUGGCAAGAGUUCAGUUCCCAAAAGACAUCUCUCUGAUUUCAAAUAUGUUUGAUCUUUUUGUCUUAUUCUUUUAAGAGCUAUUCAUGUGUUUGGAUACACACCCCUAAUAUUCACAUUUAUUUAUAAUAUAUGCUUAAAAUUUUCUUGUCUUUCAGUUACAUGACUAAUUUUUGUGCCUAGAGAUGUUCUAAAAAUGCAGUGUCUUUCUGAAGAAACAAAACCUUACAUAACUUGUCAAGGCCACCCAAGGUUAAUCAUGAGGAAAAACGUUGAAUUUUUUUACCCACCAGCCUAGUCUUCUGGCAUUUUUUCACUCUAGCUUGCGGUGAUGGUUCUAGGCAGGACCAUUAUUUGUGGGUCCACCAAACGAGGAAUGAUCCAAAACAAAGAAUCUCAAAACCACAUCACCAGACCCUCGCAGAAGGGCCCUGUACUGAUUUCAAGGAUACUUUUAUAUUUUGCUGCUUCCAUGGAGAACUGAUAGUUGGUCUUUAAUUGGUACCAAAACAUUGAAACUCCUGCGUGUAAGGCAGUGACAUACAGAAUGCACCGUGAGGUGCGUUUUCUCCGUCUUCCCCUCAGUUUCUCUCUGAACUACCUUAGGGUAUUCAGUAUGUGGAGCAUGUGGACUAGUGUCUUGAACCCGGUGUCAGCCAUCCAUCAGGAUUUACCUGUUGAAUAUUGCAUGGUAAGCUUUGCUAGUAUAGUGAGGAAGUGCUGUAUGCUUUUCUGAUACUGGCUUUUCUAGUUCCUACCUCUCAUUUUCUCUUGCUUUCCUUCUUCUGUUCUACUUUGAUGUUGGGGCCCCUGAAAUACCUUAAUCCAAAAUAGAAGUCGGGAGGGAAAAAAUGAUAGCUGGAGAACAAGGUGAAAAUCUUGACCUCGACUAUCUUCUAUUAUUUAGUAUAGUGUUGGCUUUUUGUGUGUGAGUUGGGGAGGGGGACAAAGAAAAUCAUGAUUUUUAAAAAAUUUAGUCUAAUUGAGUAGUAAUUUAAAUCAGUGAGCUUUAGCGACUCCCCUACUUCCCAUGCUUCCUUUUUUUUUUUUUUUUUUUUUUUUGAGACAGAGUCUUACUCUGUCACCUAGGUUGGAGUGCAAUGGCACGAUCUUGGCCCACUGCAACCUCUGCCUCCCGGGUUCAAGCGAUUCUCCUGCCUCAGCCUCCCGAGUAGCUGGGACUACAGGUGCCUGCCACCACGCCUGGCUAAUUUUUGUAUUCUUAGUAGAGACGGGGUUUCACCAUAUUGGCCAGACUGGUCUCGAACUCCUGACCUUGUGAUCCACCCUCCUUGGCCUCCCAGAGUGUUGGGAUUACAGGCGUGAGCCACCGCGCCCGGCCUCCCAUGCUUUCUAAUGCUGAAAUAAAACUCUUAAGUAUA